ACUUUCAGAACCGUAGCCGUCACCUUCCUCAGUGCACCAAGAAUUCGUUCUGCUAGAGUUAGGUUCUUACUGUUGUUGAGCUAGUUCGAAGUUGCCUCCUACUCCAGUUCUCCCGUUCGUUCCUUGAAGCUGUUGUGCUCGUGCGUUCGGUAGCGAGGGCGUGUUGGGUCGUGUUGCUAGCUUAUUCCAGAUGGGCGAAGUUCUCGUGGUCAACAAGGGAAUGGUGAUUCCACCGUUUAGCCGUCUGGGCUGGAUCUUACACUUCUCUUCUUCAUGUCUUCUUUAGGGCUAUGGCCCCUGUACUCGUUGUCUUUGGAUUGUAAACUCUUAGUUAAACUGUUAUCCUGUUUUUGUUGGCAUCGUGGUGUGCCUGGUUUUGUAGGGGUGAUGUUAUGAACCCCCGGACUGCAUUGUUGAUUAUCUCUGUGUGACGUUUCCUUUAAUUUUAUGUAUUAAAUUAAAUGGGGUGUUACAUAUA